rnacentral:rRNA from 1 species
GACGAACGCUGGCGGCGUGCUUAACACAUGCAAGUCGAACGAUGAACUUGGAGCUUGCUCUGGGGGAUUAGUGGCGAACGGGUGAGUAACACGUGAGUAACCUGCCCUGGACUCUGGGAUAACUUCGAGAAAUCGGAGCUAAUACCGGAUAGGACCUUGCACCGCAUGGUGUGGGGUGGAAAGUUUUUCGGUUUGGGAUGGACUCGCGGCCUAUCAGCUUGUUGGUGAGGUAAUGGCUCACCAAGGCGUCGACGGGUAGCCGGCCUGAGAGGGUGACCGGCCACACUGGGACUGAGACACAGCCCAGACUCCUACGGGAGGCAGCAGUGGGGAAUAUUGCACAAUGGGCGCAAGCCUGAUGCAGCAACGCCGCGCGCGGGAUGACGGCCUUCGGGUUGUAAACCGCUUUUAGUAGGGAAGAAGCCUUCGGGUGACGGUACCUGCAGAAAAAGGACCGGCUAACUACGUGCCAGCAGCCGCCGUAAUAC